rnacentral:lncRNA from 1 species
GUCUCUCUCGGGUCAAGUGAGUCUCUUUGAUCAUGAUUUGGUUAUAAAAUUUGAAUUUUUAUAUGUCUUGUUAUUGUUUGCAAGAACCCAAUUUGCUAAUUCUGGUUUUGAUUGUGUUCUGAUUCAUAGUGUAAUAAUCAUCUGUGUCUUUGACCAUGAUUUGGUUAUAAAGUUUGAAUUUUUAUAUGUCUUGUGAUUGUUUGCAAGAACCCAAUUUGUCAAUUCUGGUUUUGAUUGUGUUCUGAUUCAUAGUGUAAUGAUCAUCUGUGUCUUUGACCAUGAUUUAGUUAUAAAGUUUGAAUUUUUAUAUGUCUUGUGAUUGUUUGCAAGAACCCAAUUUGCCAAUUCUGAUUUUGAUUGUGUUCUGAUUCAUAGUGUCAUGAUCAUAUGUGUCUUUGACCAUGAUUUAGUUAUAAAGUUUGACUUUUUAUAUGUCUUGUGAUUGUUUGCAAGGACCCAAUUUGCCAAUUCUGGUUUUGAUUGUGUUCUGAUUCAUAGUGUCAUGAUCAUAUGUGUCUUUGACCAUGAUUUAGUUAUAAAUUUUGAAUUUUUAUAUGUCUUUUGAUUGUUUGCAUGAACCCAAUUUGCCAAUUCUGGUUUUGAUUGUGUUCUGAUUCAUAGUGUAAUAAUCAUCUGUGUCUUUGACUAUGAUUUG